AGGGGCGUAGUUUAAUGGCAGAAUAGGAGUCUCCAAAACUCUUGAUGAAGGUCCGAUUCCUUCCGCCCCUG
rnacentral:tRNA from 1 species